UUUUCCCUGCAUAGUGCGUAUAGACAGAAUUUUUAGAACCUACAAGUUAUAAGAGGGACCAAAUCUCUGAAUAUGGCGUGCAAGCUCACAUUAAUAUAGUGAGAAGCCCAUGAGUAUUUAGGUAGGAACCCACCUGUUUUUAGGAGCAGGUCCUUAAAAAUUCAAGCAUCUACGGCUAAGGCGGGGCUUUU
rnacentral:other from 1 species